rnacentral:sRNA from 1 species
ACCAACUUCAAGGUUAUACAUAAUUCUGAUCCAGUCAAGACUACGACAGCUGAAUAUGGGAUUUACUUGAUGGACGAGACGGUUGUAACCUCUGUGGAUCCGAACACCGCUAUCUAGUUCAACAAUUUCACUUCCU